rnacentral:rRNA from 1 species
CUAAUACAUGCAGUCGACGCUUCUUUCCUCCCGUGCUUGCACUCAAUUGGAAAGAGGAGUGGCGGACGGGUGAGUAACACGUGGGUAACCUACCCAUCAGAGGGGGAUAACACUUGGAAACAGGUGCUAAUACCGCAUAACAGUUUAUGCCGCAUGGCAUAAGAGUGAAAGGCGCUUUCGGGUGUCGCUGAUGGAUGGACCCGCGGUGCAUUAGCUAGUUGGUGAGGUAACGGCUCACCAAGGCCACGAUGCAUAGCCGACCUGAGAGGGUGAUCGGCCACACUGGGACUGAGACACGGCCCAGACUCCUACGGGAGGCAGCAGUAGGGAAUCUUCGGCAAUGGACGAAAGUCUGACCGAGCAACGCCGCGUGAGUGAAGAAGGUUUUCGGAUCGUAAAACUCUGUUGUAGAGAAGAACAAGCGUAGUAACUGAACGUCCCUGACGGUCUAAC